UUAUACCAAAAUCUUAUACCAAAUGAUGUGGCAUGUUCAAACUCAUUAACUUUAUUAGAAAGGAAUAGCUACAUGGAUUUUGUACUAUUUUUUUUAUUAGAAAACAUUAAAAUCAAUAUAUAUAUUUUUUCUAGUUUUUAUCAACAUAUUUUAAAUCAAUCAAUCAUACGAAAAAAAAAAAUUUUUAAAAAUAAGAGAAAUGAAACAUUUGUUUCUAAAAAAAAUAUUUAGACCUUUUACAAGGUCGUCACCCUAUCGAUCAAGGCAUAUGAAUCAGAUGAUCAUAUGUCAUCCAACUCUAUAGACAUUGUCACAUCCCGACCCUUAUAUUUUUACCUUAUUUACUAGCGUGAUUAUAAUAAGAAUUUUACCGUCUCCGUCAUUGAGUAAAUAGUUUAAUUGGUCCCUAGAGGGGUUUCGGGGACGAUUAUGUGCGGAGGAUUAUUAGUAUGAAGAAAAUACGACGACGGUAAAAAUAGUAAAUUUUAGCUAGUAAAAGGUAAUUUUUAUUCGGGUAUUAUUUUUCGGGGUGUUGAAUUUUGGAUUAAAAGGAGAGUUGGGUCGGCUGGGCCGAGCCCAACCCAUUUCUUCUUCCUUUCUCUCUCUCUUCCUCCCGAUUUUUCUUCUCUUCCCACCCGAGUUUUUUCUCUCUACACCCAGCAGACUUCCGGCCGUCCUCCCGCCGCCGUCCGGCCACCAGCUGCCGCCGCUCCAGCCCAGAUCGGACCCCCGUCACCUCCUCUCCCUCCCCGGCCUAGCCCCCCGAGCCUCUAACCCGCCGGAGAGGAGAAAAAGCCGCCGGAACCGCCGACUGUGUCUUCGCCGGAGCUCCGUCCUCCGGCCACCAUAGGUCGUGAUUUUUUGGCUCAACUUGUAGCCCUCAUCUAGGUG
rnacentral:lncRNA from 1 species